AGUGAACGCUGGCGGUAGGCCUAACACAUGCAAGUCGAACGGCAGCACAGUAAGAGCUUGCUCUUACGGGUGGCGAGUGGCGGACGGGUGAGGAAUACAUCGGAAUCUACUUUUUCGUGGGGGAUAACGUAGGGAAACUUACGCUAAUACCGCAUACGACCUACGGGUGAAAGCAGGGGAUCUUCGGACCUUGCGCGAUUGAAUUAGCCGAUGUCGGAUUAGCUAGUUGGCGGGGUAAAGGCCCACCAAGGCGACGAUCCGUAGCUGGUCUGAGAGGAUGAUAAGCCACACUGGAACUGAGACACGGUCCAGACUCCUAAGGGAGGCAGCAGUGGGGAAUAUUGGACAAUGGGCGCAAGCCUGAUCCAGCCAUACCGCGUGGGUGAAGAAGGCCUUCGGGUUGUAAAGCCCUUUUGUUGGGAAAGAAAAGCAGCAGGUUAAUACCCCGCUGUUCUGACGGUACCCAAAGAAUAAGCACCGGCUAACUUCGUG
rnacentral:rRNA from 1 species